rnacentral:rRNA from 1 species
AACGAACGCUGGCGGCGUGCCUAACACAUGCAAGUCGAACGAGAAAGGGGCUUCGGCUCCGAGUAAAGUGGCGCACGGGUGAGUAACACGUGGGUAACCUGCCUCUAAGAUUGGGAUAACUCGUCGAAAGAUGAGCUAAUACCGGAUAAGACCACGGUUCCCGCGGGAACAGGGGUCAAAGGUAGCCUCUGCUUGCAAGCUAUCACUUAGAGAUGGGCCUGCGCACCAUUAGCUAGUUGGUAGGGUAACGGCCUACCAAGGCAAAGAUGGUUAGCUGGUCUGAGAGGAUGAUCAGCCACAUUGGAACUGAGACACGGUCCAGACUCCUACGGGAGGCAGCAGUGGGGAAUAUUGCGCAAUGGGCGAAAGCUUGACGCAGCAACGCCGCGUGAGUGAUGAAGGCCUUCGGGUCGUAAAGCUCUGUCGGGAGGAACGAAUGCUCCCAAGGUUAACAGCCUCGGGAGGUGACGGUACCUUCAAAGGAAGCACCGGCUAACUCUGUGCCAGCCGCCGCCGUAA